rnacentral:rRNA from 1 species
GAUGAACGCUGGCGGCGUGCCUAAUACAUGCAAGUCGAGCGAACGGACGAGAAGCUUGCUUCUCUGAUGUUAGCGGAGGACGGGUGAGUAACACGUGGAUAAUCUACCUAUCAGACUGGGAUCACUUCGGGAAACCGGAGCUAAUACCGGAUAAUAUUUUGAACCGCAUGGUUCAAAAGUGAAAGACGGUCUUGCUGUCUCUUAUAGAUGGAUCCGCGCUGCAUUAGCUAGUUGGUAAGGUAAUGGCCUACCAAGGCAACGAUGCGUUGCCGAACUGAGAGGGGGGUCGGCCACAUGGGAGCUGGGACACGGUCCUGGCUCCUGCGGGAGGGAGCAGAAUGGAAUCUGCCGCAAUAGGCGAGAGCCUGACGGAGCGACGCCGCGUGAGUUGUGAAGGUCUUCCGUGCGUAAUACUCUGUUACUGGGUAAGAACAGAUGUGUAAGUAGCUGUGCACAGCGUGACGGUACCGGAUCAGAAAGCCACGGCUAACUACGUG